UACGUAGGGUGCAAGCGUUAAUCGGAAUUACUGGGCGUAAAGCGUGCGCAGGCGGUUGUGCAAGACCGAUGUGAAAUCCCCGGGCUUAACCUGGGAAUGGCAUUGGUGACUGUACGGCUAGAGUGUGUCAGAGGGGGGUAGAAUUCCACGUGUAGCAGUGAAAUGCGUAGAGAUGUGGAGGAAUACCGAUGGCGAAGGCAGCCCCCUGGGAUAACACUGACGCUCAUGCACGAAAGCGUGGGGAGCAAGCAGG
rnacentral:rRNA from 1 species